AGUCGAGCGGUAAGGCCCUUCGGGGUACACGAGCGGCGAACGGGUGAGUAACACGUGAGCAACCUGCCCCUGACUCCGGGAUAAGCGGUGGAAACGCCGUCUAAUACCGGAUACGACCUGUCACCUCAUGGUGGCGGGUGGAAAGUUUUUCGGUCGGGGAUGGGCUCGCGGCCUAUCAGCUAGUUGGUGGGGUAAAGGCCUACCAAGGCGAUUACGGGUAGCCGGCCUGAGAGGGCGACCGGCCACACUGGGACUGAGACACGGCCCAGACUCCUGCGGGAGGCAGCAGUGGGGAAUAUUGCGCAAUGGGCGAAAGCCUGACGCAGCGACGCCGCGUGGGGGAUGACGGCCUUCGGGUUGUAAACCUCUUUUACCACCAACGCAGGCUCCCAGUUCUCUGGGGGUUGACGGUAGGUGGGGAAUAAGGACCGGCUAACUACGUGCCAGCAGCCGCGGUAAUACGUAGGGUCCGAGCGUUGUCCGGAAUUAUUGGGCGUAAAGAGCUCGUAGGCGGCGUGUCGCGUCUGCUGUGAAAGACCGGGGCUUAACUCCGGUUCUGCAGUGGAUACGGGCAUGCUAGAGGUAGGUAGGGGAGACUGGAAUUCCUGGUGUAGCGGUGAAAUGCGCAGAUAUCAGGAGGAACACCGGUGGCGAAGGCGGGUCUCUGGGCCU
rnacentral:rRNA from 1 species